rnacentral:rRNA from 1 species
UACGUAGGGUGCAAGCGUUGUCCGGAAUUAUUGGGCGUAAAGAGCUCGUAGGCGGUUUGUCGCGUCUGCUGUGAAAACUCGGGGCUUAACUCCGGGCCUGCAGUGGGUACGGGCAGACUAGAGUGUGGUAGGGGAGACUGGAAUUCCUGGUGUAGCGGUGAAAUGCGCAGAUAUCAGGAGGAACACCGAUGGCGAAGGCAGGUCUCUGGGCCACUACUGACGCUGAGAAGCGAAAGCAUGGGGGAGCGAACAGG